rnacentral:lncRNA from 1 species
AAUCAUUUGGCUAAUAAUGCUAAUAGUGCUAGUGACAAAAAUAACGACUCCAAUGGAAAUAGUAAUAAAAGUUUUAGUAGUAUUGCUAUCAACCAACAACUGAUAGACACAAAUGAUGAAUUAAUAAGCUACAGUUAUAAUCAAACUAAAAAAGUUACACCUAUUAUUACUAAUGAUAAAAUGAAUAAACAAAAAGACAUUAACAUUUUUAAUACGAACUCUAAUCAUUCCCUUGGCCCCAAUAAUAAUAAUAAUAAUAAUAAUAACACCAGUGUAAAUGUCACAAGUUUUAAAAACGAUACAUGCUAUCCUGGAGGUAUGUAUAUGGAUACUUACGGAAAUAAAUUUAUGAACGAUAGUCAUGUUAAUGCAAAUGAAAAUAAGCACAUUUCAACAGUAGGUCAAACAAAUAAAAUUCUUGGUAUGGAUAUUAUUCAAAAUGAAAAUUCAGACCAAAUGACAGCGCCAAUGGAUACCCAAGUUGUUAAUGUAAUUAGACCAGAUGACACAAAUGAAAAGGUAGACACAAAUGAAAAGGAAAACACAAAUGAAGAGGCAAACACAAAUGAANNNNNNNNNNACACAAAUGAAAAGGAAAACACAAAUGAAGAGGCAAACACAAAUGAAGAGGCAAACACAAAUGAAGAGGUAGACACAACUAAUGGACCUACUGGAAAUAAUAUCUCCAAAGUAGGUAAUAUUUUUAAAAAGUGUGUUUCAAGUUAUUUUAGUAAUGUAAGCCCUUUUAAAUUUUCCAGUUUAUCUAAAAAAAUAUUAAAAAAUGAAAAUAUUACUGAACAACAUGUUAAGGAUGUAAAUACAGAUACCGAAACUCUGAAUAGUAAAACAGAUAAUAAUGAUAUGAAUAUAAACACAAGUAGCACUAAUAACAGUUGUAAUAAUAAUUAUGCCUUUAGCGUAGAACAGACAAAUAAUAUUAUAAAAAACGUUGAAAAAUUUAAAAUAAAUAAUAACAUCGAAAAGGUAGAUAACCAAGAGGUAAUAUAUACUAGCUCGGAAUUGCCGCUCAGUACAACUAGCUUUGCAACUAGCCACGUAUCUAAUAAUGUAGCUAGCCACAUGACCAACAAUGUAGCUAGCCAUAUGACCAACAAUGUAGCUAGCCACAUGACCAACAAUGUAGCUAGCCACAUGACCAACAAUGUAGCUAGCCACAUGACCAACAAUGUAGCUAGCCACAUGACCAACAAUGUAGCUAGCCACGUAUCCAACAAUCAUACGUCUGAUUCCAAUGUAGACGUAGAAAUAGUGAAUAACGUCUCAACCGGUUUUUAUGUUAAAAGUUGUACCACAACUGGUAGUAGUCAUAAUAAUAAUAAUAAUAGUAACAGUAAUAAUAGUAACAAUAAUAAUAGUAACAAUAAUAAUAGUAACAGUAAUAAUAGUAACAAUAAUAAUAGUAACAAUAACGUAAUGGAAAGUGAUUAUAAUAACAUUCAAAAAGAACAUCCUAAUACACCUUUUAUAAAUUGGAGCAACAAAAAUAAUAGAAAUCGAGAAGCACUACCAUCUUUAACAAAAUAUAAUACAUUUUCUGAAAAUGUACCAACUGAAAAUGACAAUGACAAUAACCGUACCAACAGUAGUCAAACCCAUGAUGACUUACAUGCUAGCACCUUAUUAUUGGAAAAUAAACAAAAUAACAUUAUACAACUUGAAGAGCAACAAAACACGGUAUAUAAUUUUACGCAAACGUGUAAUAGUAAUAAUAAUAAUAAUAUUAAAAAUGACACACAUGUCAGGAGUAGUAACAUAUCUGGCGAUGUAGACAUGUAUAUUAAGGUUGACACGCAGAUUGACACGCAGGUUGACACGCAGGUUGACACGCAGGUUGACACGCAGGUUGACACGCAGAUUGACACGCAGGUUGACACGCAGAUUGACACGCAGGUUGACACGCAGGUUGACACGCAAGUUGACACGCAAGUUGACACGCAAGUUGACACGCAAGUUGACACGCAGGUUGACACGCAGGUUGACACACCAGUGGAUACACCAGUGGAUACACCGGUUGACACACCGGUUGACACAUCGGUUGACACACCAGUUGACACACCAGUUGACACACCGGUUGACACACCAGUGGACACACUAGUUGAAAACAAUUUUUUAUUACAAAACAAUAAAGACGAUAUGAAUACGAACAAUUUUAAUUAUAUAUCUAAUGCCUUUAUAAAUAAUGAAUUGUGCGAAAAUAAAAAUGAAAAUAUUAAUAAUAUUGUAAUCUCAAAUCAUUGUAAAGGUGUUAAUGAAAGCGCUAAUGUAAUGAUCGGUGUUUGUAAUAGUAGUGCCGUAGUUAAUAACAGUAACAAUUUCAAACCAAAUGAUAGCAAUUAUUUUUCAGGGAUAUUUCAAAUAACUGCUAAUAAUAACCCAUUAGAUAUAAAUGCAGAGAGUUUUGAUAAUAAAGAAGACUUUGAAAAAGUUAAUCAGAUUUUUAAAAAUAUUAAUUGUAUAAAUAAGAAUAUAAGUUACAUAAAUAAAUAUGUUCCAUCUAAUAUUGAAGAAGUAAA